UACGUAGGGUGCAAGCGUUAAUCGGGAUUACUGGGCGUAAAGCGUGCGCAGGCGGUUAUGUAAGACAGGGGUGAAAUCCCCGGGCUUAACCUGGGAACUGCAUUUGUGACUGCAUAGCUAGAGUACGGUAGAGGGGGAUGGAAUUCCGCGUGUAGCAGUGAAAUGCGUAGAUAUGCGGAGGAACACCGAUGGCGAAGGCAAUCCCCUGGACCUGUACUGACGCUCAUGCACGAAAGCGUGGGGAGCAAACAGG
rnacentral:rRNA from 1 species